rnacentral:rRNA from 1 species
UACGUAGGAUGCAAGCGUUAUCCGGAAUUAUUGGGCGUAAAGCGUACGUAGGCGGUUUACCAAGUCUGGAGUUAAAGACCGAGGCUCAACCUCGGGAGUGCUCUGGAAACUGGUAGGCUGGAGGACGGCAGAGGAAAGUGGAAUUCCCAGUGUAGCGGUGAAAUGCGUAGAUAUUGGGAGGAACACCAGUGGCGAAAGGCGGACUUCGAUCG